rnacentral:lncRNA from 1 species
UCUCUUUCAGAUCUAAUAAUCUCCAAAACUAUGGACUUACAGCACAUAAGAAACUGCAUAGAUAUAAACUCCAGCAAAGCCCUGCAUUGGAUACUCAGCCCAACAUGUUUUUGCAUAUCAUCCUCUGACAUAUGCUAUGUUUCAAGAAAUGACCAACAAAGGGAGACCAAAUAGAGUAUCUUCUGAGAUUUUAUGGAAGUGGCACCUUCAAUCAAAGUCUGGUUGUGGGAAGUGAGGGAGAAAUUGCAGUAUACAAGCUUUAACUACUUGAAGAAUAUUUUCAUUUCAUCUAUCAGAAACCCUUGUGUCAAGAUAAUUUAUUUGACUCGACUUUCAGGAAUUCAGCAUCAUAGCUAUAUUCAUGUGAAUAAAUCCAGAGUUCUUUCAGAUUCUAACCAGCCAAGUAUGGGAAAACAGAAAAUGGUGAUAUUUAACAUUUCAAAUUUAUCAUACAGGAAAUAGAUGGUGAGCAUUUUAAGAGCAACAACCAAUAUGUCCACGUCUCUGUGACUCCAAAGGCCUUUAAACUAUGGGG